CCGGGGGGUGUUUUUUUUGUUUUCUCAUUCCCAUUACUGUUGGUUUGGAUUCCUGAGGAACUGUUUUCAGUGAAAGAGAAAUGAAGAAGCAAGACACUUUCAGAUCAAGUCCUGUCUUGUACAUUAAAAUAAGGUCAACCUUCCUUUAGAGGCAAAUAAAUAAGAGACGG